CUGAACACCUAUGGCGAAAGACGGUCCCAACUGGGAUGGGUUGCUCAAAUGGAGUCUCGCUCACUCCGACGGAACUCGCCCUAAUCGUAAUCUUAGUGAGGAGGACCGGAGAUGGUUUAUGGAAGCAAUGCAAGCUCAGAGUGUCGAUGUUGUCAAGCGCAUGAAAGAAAUAACUCAAGUGAUGCAGACUCCUGAGCAAGUCUUGGAAGCUCAAGGAGUUAGUUCAGAGGAUAUUGAAGAUAUGCUUGAUGAGCUACAAGAGCAUGUUGAGUCGAUUGACAUGGCCAAUGACCUUCACUCUGUUGGUGGGCUGCAUCCUCUUCUUGGAUAUCUUAAGAACUCCCAUGCAAAUAUUCGAGCCAAAGCUGCAGAAGUUGUGACCACUAUUGUUCAGAAUAACCCGCGAAGUCAACAACUGGUGAUGGAAUUGAAUGGUUUGGAGUCACUUCUUUUAAACUUUACUUCAGACCCUGAUGUCACUGCUCGGACCAAAGCUCUUGGUGCUAUAUCCUCUUUAAUCCGACACAACAAACCUGGUAUUUCUGCAUUCCGACUUGCUAAUGGUUAUGCAGGCCUGAGAGAUGCUCUUGGCUCCGAGAGUGUAAGAUUUCAAAGGAAAGCCCUGAACUUGAUCCAUUACCUGCUGCAUGAAAACACUUCAGAUUGCCACAUAGUGAAUGAGCUCGGGUUUCCUCGUAUUAUGCUACACCUUGCAUCCAGUGAUGAUGCAGAAGUACGG
rnacentral:misc_RNA from 1 species